AUUGAACGCUGGCGGCAGGCCUAACACAUGCAAGUCGAACGAGUGGCGGACGGGUGAGUAAUGUAUGGGAAACUGCCCGAUGGAGGGGGAUAACUACUGGAAACGGUAGCUAAUACCGCAUACCAUCGGAUGUGCCCAUAGGGGAUUAGCUAGUAGGUGGGGUAACGGCUCACCUAGGCGACGAUCCUUAGCUGGUCUGAGAGGAUGACCAGCCACACUGGAACUGAGACACGGCCCAGACUCCGACGGGAGGCAGCAGUGGGGAAUAUUGCACAAUGGGCGCAAGCCUGAUGCAGCCAUGCCGCGUGUAUGAAGAAGGCCUUAGGGUUGUAAAGUACUUUCAGCGAGGAGGCGUUACCCGCAGAAGAAGCACCGGCUAACUCCGUGCCAGCAGCCGCGGUAAUAC
rnacentral:rRNA from 1 species